UUUUGUUUAAAUUUUAAGUUAAUUUUAUAUAGCUCCCCGUAAGAAUAUCGAAUAACAAAUAUAUCCCUAUAAUGUUUAACUUUUUAUAUUUGUUCCUGCAAAAGUCCUAAUAUUUUCAGAUAUAGUCUUGCUGUUAGAAUCCGUUAAAAAAACAUAAUUAACCAUAGGUAAAAUAUCUAACCAUGGUUAGUGAAUAAGAUAAAUUGACUUUUUUAUCUUUUUUAUAUUAUUUGUGAUCAUAGAAAGAAAAAAUAUGUCCGUUGAAAAUUUUUGGGAGGACAUUUCUGUAUAAUUCUAAUAGUUAAAGCUUUUGGAGGGAUAUAUUUGUGAUGGUAAAAAUGUCAUUUACUUAACUUCUGUUAAAAAAUAAACAGUGCUAUAAUAGUAACAAACCAGAAGAGCAAAUAUGAAUAUCAUUAUACUUUUGCGAGAAUAAAUAUGAAAAAUUAAACUCUGUAGGAAUAUAUUUGCUAUUCGAUAUGCUUACAGGGAGCUGUAUAAAGUUAACCCAAAUUUUAAUAUAUUUUAAUAUUAUUCAGUUAUCUAACUUGUAGUUUACUAUUUUAUCAGCUUUGUUUUUGCUUUGUUUUUAUUUAGAGUAAACUUCAAAUACCACCCUUGUGGUUUCGCAUUUUCUCACUUUCGUACCCUAUGGUUUAAAGUGUAUCAAGUUAGUGUCCUGUGGUUUUAUUUUUAUCUUUUUAUCAGCUUUUCCGUUAAUAUUUUAUUAAAUUAUAUAUAAAAAAUUUCAGAUACCCCACCUAGGUUUAUUGAAUAUUCACUUUAGUAACAUUUAGUUUUAACUUCGUCACUAAUUUAACGAAAAAAAUUACUGAAAUCGAUAAUAAAAAAAUAAAAAUAAAACUACAUGACACUAAAUUGAUACACUUCAAACUAUAUGGUACUAAAGUGAGACAGUAUGAAAUCACAGGGGUAGUAUUUGAAAAUUUUCCUUUUAUUUAUUAUAAUUAAAGG
rnacentral:lncRNA from 1 species